GCGCGAAAACUUUACAAUGCGGGAAACCGUGAUAAGGGGACACCGAGUGCCAGCAUCAUAUGCUGGCUGUCCAGGUGUGUAAACUACACCUGUUAGCAAGGGCCGGGCAAGACCGGUGCCAGCCGCCGCGGUAACACCGGCGGCCCGAGUGGUGAUCGUGAUUAUUGGGUCUAAAGGGUCCGUAGCCGGUUUGGUCAGUCCUCCGGGAAAUCUGACGGCUCAACCGUUAGGCUUUCGGGGGAUACUGCCAGGCUUGGAACCGGGAGAGGUAAGAGGUACUACAGGGGUAGGAGUGAAAUCUUGUAAUCCCUGUGGGACCACCUGUGGCGAAGGCGUCUUACCAGAACGGGUUCGACGGUGAGGGACGAAAGCUGGGGGCACGAACCGGAUUAGAUACCCGGGUAGUCCCAGCCGUAAACGAUGCUCGCUAGGUGUCAGGCAUGGCGCGACCGUGUCUGGUGCCGCAGGGAAGCCGUGAAGCGAGCCACCUGGGAAGUACGGCCGCAAGGCUGAAACUUAAAGGAAUUGGCGGGGGAGCACAACAACGGGUGG
rnacentral:rRNA from 1 species